rnacentral:rRNA from 1 species
UACGCAGGGGGCUAGCGUUGCUCGGAAUCACUGGGCGUAAAGGGUGCGUAGGCGGGUCUUUAAGUCAGGGGUGAAAUCCUGGAGCUCAACUCCAGAACUGCCUUUGAUACUGGCGAUCUCGAGUCCGGGAGAGGUGAGUGGAACUGCGAGUGUAGAGGUGAAAUUCGUAGAUAUUCGCAAGAACACCAGUGGCGAAGGCGGCUCACUGGCCCGGUACUGACGCUGAGGUGCGAAAGCGUGGGGAGCAAACAGG